rfam:Ixodes scapularis strain Wikel colony gcontig_1108378329508, whole genome shotgun sequence.
CCGGCAGUAGCUCAGUGGUAGAGUGUCCGCUUCUCACGCAGAAGUUCCGGGUUCGAUCCCCUGUGGGU